rnacentral:snRNA from 1 species
AUACUUACCUGGCAGGGGAGACACCAUGAUCAUGAAAGGUACUUCUUCCAGGGUGAGGCUCAUCCAUUGCACUCUGGGUGUGCUAUCCCUGUGUGAUUUCCCCAAAUGUGGGAAGCUUGAUUGUAUAAUUUGUGGUAGUGGGGACUACAUUCGCACUUUCCCCU